GUGGCGGUCGCGGCCCAAGUUCGGGGCAACACUGCCCCCUAGGGGUCGGCGCCUGAGAAAAGAUCUGAAAGAGCACUAGAGAAGAAUCAGAUCUGAUCCUUGCCUUCAAGGAGCUCGCAUACUGGGUUCUCUGUGGUAGAAGCCAGCUGCCAUGGAAGCUGUGUGACUGCCCUGAAACCGCCAUGCUGUGGGGAAGCCCAAAGGAGUUCAGAGAGACCACAUGGAGAAGCUCAGAGACUAACUGAAGAGAGAAGAGUCCAGCCAUCCCCUGUCCUCCGCUGUGCCAUCUCCAGCUGCUGUCUGAUUGCAGUGCAUGGGAGACCCCAAGCUAGAACUGCCCAGCUGUGGCCCUUCCCAGUUCCUUACCCACAAACAGCA